AAACUGCGAUAAGUAGUGUGAAUUGCAUUUAGUGAAUCAUCGAAUCUUUGAACGCACCUUGCACUCACUGGUAUUCCGGUGAGUACGCCUGUUUCAGUAUCACUGAAAACACACAAUCAAAACAUUUUCUUUGGUUUGAUUGGCUUUGGGUCUAUCAAAAAGUUUGGCUUGUUUCUUACAAGCCAAGCGGCCUGAAAUAUAUUGUCUGGCUAAUUGCAUCGUUGAUGAUCGCUAUUAGACUUUGGCUUUUUUAAAUGAACUGGAGGUUGAUUAACCAGUUUUAGCUUUAGUCAAAUGGUCAUUGUAAAAAAAAUCUCGAUCUUGGCUAGGUGUUUAUAGCCGAAAAUUUUUUUUUGGCUAUAACCGAAACCAAUAUAAUCACAUUUAGUGAUCGAUCUGAAAUCAGGUGGGACUACCCGCUGAACUUAAGC
rnacentral:misc_RNA from 1 species